AGCGAACGCUGGCGGCAGGCUUAACACAUGCAAGUCGAACGCCCCGCAAGGGGAGUGGCAGACGGGUGAGUAACACGUGGGAACGUACCCUUUGGUUCGGAAUAACGUGGGGAAACUCAAGCUAAUACCGGAUAAGCCCUUAUGGGGAAAGGUUUACUGCCGAAGGAUCCGCACGCGUCUGAUAAGCUAGUUGGUGAGGGAAUGGCUCACCACGGCGCCGAUCAGUAGCUGGGCUGAGAGGAUGAGCAGCCACACUGUGAAUGAGAGACGGCCCACACUCCUACGGGAGGCAGUUGUGGGGAAUAUUGGACAAUGGUGCCAACCCUGAUCCAGCCAUGCCGCGUGAUUGAUGAAGGCCUUAGGGUUGUAAAGCUGUUUUACCCGGGACGAUAAUGACUGUACCGGGAGAAUAAGCCCCGGCUAACUUCGUGCCAGCAGCCGCCGUAA
rnacentral:rRNA from 1 species